rnacentral:rRNA from 1 species
AGAGUUUGAUCCUGGCUCAGGAUGAACGCUAGCGGCAGGCUUAACACAUGCAAGUCGAGGGGCAGCAUAUCGCUUCGGUGAUGAUGGCGACCGGCGCACGGGUGAGUAUCGCGUUUGUAACCUACCCUUAACUGGGGGAUAGCCCGAAGAAAUUCGGAUUAAUACCCCAUAAUAUUUAAGCACGGCAUCGUGCUUUCAUUAAAGCUCCGGCGGUUAAGGAUGGGCAUGCGUGCCAUUAGCUAGUUGGUGGGGUAACAGCCCACCAAGGCGAUGAUGGCUAGGGGGUCUUAAAGGAUGGUCCCCCACACUGGUACUGAGACACGGACCAGACUCCUACGGGAGGCAGCAGUGAGGAAUAUUGGUCAAUGGGCGCAAGCCUGAACCAGCCAUGCCGCGUGCAGGAAGACGGCCCUAUGGGUUGUAAACUGCUUUUAUAUGGGAAGAAAACGUCCUACGUGUAGGGCAUUGACGGUACCAUACGAAUAAGCAUCGGCUAACUCCGUGCCAGCAGCCGCGGUAAUACGGAGGGUGCAAGCGUUAUCCGGAUUUAUUGGGUUUAAAGGGUUCGCAGGCGGCGUAUUAAGUCAGUGGUGAAAUCCCGAGGCUCAACUGUGAAACUGCCAUUGAUACUGGAUUUCUUGAGUAUAGUUGAGGUAGGCGGAAUGUGUAAUGUAGCGGUGAAAUGCAUAGAUAUUACACAGAACACCGAUUGCGAAGGCAGCUUACUAAGCUAUUACUGACGCUGAUGCACGAAAGCGUGGGGAGCGAACAGGAUUAGAUACCCUGGUAGUCCACGCCGUAAACGAUGCUUACUGGUUGUUGGCGAUACAUUGUCAGCGACUGAGGGAAACCAUUAAGUAAUCCACCUGGGGAGUACGUUCGCAAGAAUGAAACUCAAAGGAAUUGACGGGGGCCCGCACAAGCGGAGGAACAUGUGGUUUAAUUCGAUGAUACGCGAGGAACCUUACCUGGACUUAAAUGUAGAUUGACCGGUUUAGAAAUAGAUCUUUCCUUCGGGACAAUUUACAAGGUGCUGCAUGGUUGUCGUCAGCUCGUGCCGUGAGGUGUCGGGUUAAGUCCCAUAACGAGCGCAACCCUCAUCAUUAGUUGCCAGCGAGUAAUGUCGGGGACUCUAAUGAAACUGCCGGUGUAAACCGUGAGGAAGGGGGGGAUGACGUCAAGUCAGCACGGCCCUUAUGUCCAGGGCUACACACGUGUUACAAUGGUUGAUACAAAGGGCAGCUACCUGGUGACAGGAUGCUAAUCUCCAAAAUCGAUCUCAGUUCGGAUCGAAGUCUGCGACUCGACUUCGUGAAGCUGGAUUCGCUAGUAAUCGCGCAUCAGCCACGGCGCGGUGAAUACGUUCCCGGGCCUUGUACACACCGCCCGUA